rnacentral:rRNA from 1 species
AUUGAACGCUGGCGGCAGGCUUAACACAUGCAAGUCGAACGAGUGGCGGACGGGUGUGUCAUGCUUGGGAAUCUGGCUUAUGGAGGGGGAUAACGACGGGAAACUGUCGCUAAUACCGCGUCCCAUAGUCUGAGCCCAGGUGGGUUUAGGUAGUUGGUGGGGUAAUGGCCUACCAAGCCGACGAUCCCUAGCUGGUCUGAGAGGAUGACCAGCCACACCGGGACUGAGACACGGCCCGGACUCCUACGGGAGGCAGCAGUGGGGAAUAUUGCGCAAUGGGGGCAACCUGACGCAGCCAUGCAGCGGGAAUGAAGAAGGCCUUCGGGUUGUAAAGUUCUUUCGGUGACGAGGCGUUAAUCACAGAAGAAGCAACGGCUAACUCCGUGCCAGCAGCCGCGGUAAUAG